GGAUUAGAUACCCUGGUAGUCCACGCCGUAAACGAUGAGCACUAGCCAUUGCAGGUUUAACCCCCGCAGUGGCACAGCUAACGCAUUAAGUGCUCCGCCUGGGGGGUACGGUCGCAAGACUAAAACUCAAAGGAAUUGACGGGGGCCCGCACAAGCGGUGGAUUAUGUGGUUUAAUUCGAAGCAACGCGCAGAACCUUACCUGGGCUUGAAAUCCUACGAAUCCUCUAGAGAUAGAGGAGUGCCCUUCGGGGAAUGUAGUGACAGGCGCUGCAUGGCUGUCGUCAGCUCGUGUCG
rnacentral:rRNA from 1 species